rnacentral:tRNA from 1 species
UCUGAUAUGGUCUAGUGGUUUGGAUACCUGGCUUUCACCCAGGAGGCUCGGGUUCGAUUCCCGGUAUCGGAA